UGGUGGAGCGAUUUGUCUGGUUAAUUCCGAUAACGAACGAGACUCUGGCCUAUUAAAUAGUUCGCCGAUUCCGAUCUGUCGGCGUUAACUUCUUAGAGGGACAAGUGGCUUUUAGCCACGCGAGAUUGAACAAUAACA
rnacentral:rRNA from 1 species